rnacentral:rRNA from 1 species
UACGAAGGGGGCUAGCGUUGCUCGGAAUCACUGGGCGUAAAGCGCACGUAGGCGGAUUGUUAAGUCAGGGGUGAAAGCCCAGAGCUCAACUCUGGAAUUGCCUUUGAGACUGUGAGGCUUGAGUACGGGAGAGGUGAGUGGAAUCCCCAGUGUAGAGGUGAAAUUCGUAGAUAUUGGGAAGAACACCGGUGGCGAAGGCGGCUCACUGGCCCGAAACUGACGCUCAUGCACGACAGCGUGGGGAUCAAACAGG